rnacentral:rRNA from 1 species
GAUGAACGCUGGCGGCGUGCCUAAUACAUGCAAGUCGAGCGAACAGACGAGGAGCUUGCUCCUCUGACGUUAGCGGCGGACGGGUGAGUAACACGUGGAUAACCUACCUAUAAGACUGGGAUAACUUCGGGAAACCGGAGCUAAUACCGGAUAAUAUAUUGAACCGCAUGGUUCAAUAGUGAAAGACGGUUUUGCUGUCACUUAUAGAUGGAUCCGCGCCGUAUUAGCUAGUUGGUAAGGUAACGGCUUACCAAGGCAACGAUGCGUAGCCGACCUGAGAGGGUGAUCGGCCACACUGGAACUGAGACACGGUCCAGACUCCUACGGGAGGCAGCAGUAGGGAAUCUUCGGCAAUGGGCGAAAGCCUGACGGAGCAACGCCGCGUGAGUGAUGAAGGUCUUCGGAUCGUAAAGCUCUGUUAUUAGGGAAGAACAAAUGUGUAAGUAACUAUGCACGUCUUGACGGUACCUAAUCAGAAAGCCACGGCUAACUACGUG